GAGGCCUUAGCUUAAUUAAAGUAUCUUAUUUGCAGUUAGAAGAUGUGAGUUAAUAUCUUACAGGUCUUU
rnacentral:tRNA from 2 species